AUUAUUUUAUCUUUUAAUAUAUUUUUUUAAAUUUUAUUAUUAUUUGUUUAACCAUUUCAAUCAGUUUUUUUUCAAAAAUUGUUUGAAAAUUUUUUAGUAUAUACAGGGUGUUAAUGAUUAACACUAACUACCUUGUAGUAAUAGAGAGCAUGUAGACAACCAAUUUGGUGUAAUCAAUCCAUAACUGGAAACACAAAAUAACGAUGCUUCAGGUCAUCAAAGUUGGAAAGUACGCUUCUUCCAUAAUAAGCAUCUGUCAGUUUUAUGUUGUUAUUUGUUUAUCGGUUUUAUUUGUUAUUUGCAGGGUUGUCGGUGCGGAGCUGCAAUGGAUCCGGAAAUAGUGAGGUUACUGGUAUACUGUUGGGUUACAGCAGCUGCUCAGAAUGAACGCCACCCAUCUCAUUGCAAACAUAGCAACACUGCUGCAGUUUUGACGUACUCGCUCAAAAGUUCGCCGCGUGGUCUAAAUUGUCACACUAGUAGCAUUAAUACGCGCUACCAAUUCCUCUACUAUCCUAACUGGAGUGGCGUAAACAAGAUUCUUCUCUCGUCCUUGGA
rnacentral:lncRNA from 1 species